UCGUCCAAAUUAUUCAAGGAUUUGAUUUUUCCGACAAUCCUAUCCUUCCUCACUUUGUCCCAAUCAUUUAAUCACUUUUUCUCCAGUCGGUCGGUACUGGGCUUCUAUUCUUAGCAGGUUCAAUUUCGUAGCUGCGAUUCCAGCUUCACUGGCGAUAAGUCUAUGCAAUCUCGUUUUCUAUAUGAUCCCAUUUUAGUUUCUAUUCAAUCUCGUCUUCUGUUCUAACGCAAUUACACAGAUUUCGUCUGGCGUCUGAGUUCGCGGCCGCAUUCGAUAACUUCAACGCGAAGGAAAAAACCAAACAAUCUGUGUGCUCUGCUUGCAUAUAUACAGACAAAUAAAGGGAAAAAAAAUGCUAAAUUUCCUAUCCAGGAUACCUCUCCCGUGAUUUGAUAUCUCCAUCAAUUGCUGUUAUUGUUCUUCUUUAUUUAAAAAAUAAAAAAACAAUUUGUGUGCUCCCCUUGAAUCCCUAUUGAUAUUUCUCUCCAGUUACUUCA